GUCGCGACACUUCGCCUCGAUUUUGUUGCCAGCAGCGCCCCAAGAGGCUGGUAGGUUACACUGUGAAUUCGGCGCGAUCGUGAAAGAGAAUAGUGGUUGUUUAUUUUGAUUUAUACAAUGGCUUUUACUGGCGGGAGCGUUUGUAGCGCAAUACAUUGCACCAACAACAGGAAGAAGACACCACAGCUGUCUUUUUUUAGGUUUCCUAAGGAUCCUGAGAGGAGCAGAAAAUGGCUUGUUAAUAGCAGGCGAGAAGACCUCAUUAAGAAAGAACCAGUGUACCUGUAUAAUAAUAUUAGGUUUUGUUCGCUACAUUUCGAACAAAACCUGUUCAUGAACGCAGACAACAACAAACUCGUGUGGAAUGCAGUACCCACACUGUUUGACAUUCCAAAUAAGCCACCUCAGCUGACGAUGAAGAGGAAACUGCCACAAAGAUUCGACAGUCAAUCUAAAGCAGUAAAACAGUCCUAUGACACAGAAGCAGCCGGUUCAACUCUGCAUGUAUCAGUGCCAGAUUCGUGUGAAUUGUCAACACAGACUUGCUUUGACGAUGAAGUGGUUAGAUUAAGUGCAGCUGUUCGUGUCUUACAAAAGCGUGUGAAGUGUCAGAAUGUGCAAAUCGCUAGACUUCGAGCGAAACUAUUACGGGACAAGGAAAGUGCCUACAGACAGCGACAGAAACUGUAUCAGAAGGAGCAAGUGAACAAGGACAAACGAAUGUUAAAGACCAUAGGAUCCCCAUAUUUAAAAAAAGUGCCCUUGACUUGUUGUUAAGCCAGAUUAGCAUGCCAUUGAAAGAGAAACGUGCUGCAAGAUGGAAAGACGAAAAUAAGCUGUUUGCUCUAAAUUUAUUAUAUUACAGCACUCAGGCAUACAGGUUUUUGUCAGAAUGUUUUAUGCUUCCAUCAGUGCGUAGGGCUACAUUACAAAGGUAUGUGGAAGGCAUACAAAUAAAAUGUGGGAUAAGUGACAAUAUAUUCCAUCUUUUAAAGCAAAAGGUGCAACAUUUUUCUUAUAAUGAUAAACUUGUGAACAUGUCAUUGGAUGAAAUGUCUCUAAUGGCAAAUUUGACAUAUGAGGCACAGCUAAAAUUGCGAACAGUGUGUUGGUGAUAAUGAUUAGUGGCAUUUUUUCUUGUUUCAAACAACCAUUGCUGUACUGUUUUUGUAAAGGAACAGUGGGAGCUAUGCAUUCGACUGCUAUAUUUUAUGAAGUAGUCAAGAGACUUAAGGAAAUUGGCUUGGUUGUAAAGACCUGUGUGACUGAUCAGGGUUCAAAUUUUGUGGACUGGAGAAAGAGACGGAAUUACACAAGUCAAUCCAAGUUUGGUAUAUGAGGAGCAGAAGAUCUAUUUCUUCUAUGAUACCCCACAUUUGUUUAAGAACAUCAGAAACAACCUAUUUAGGUAUGACAUAAUUCAUACAUCAAAUGAUGGUUUGGUUGGUACUGCUUCUUGGAAGGACAUUUCUCAGCUCUAUUCAAAUGACUUGCACAGGAAAUACAAGUUAGCGCCGAAGCUGACUAAAAAAGCUGUCGAACUGCCAGCUUUUUCAAAAAUGAAAGUGGGUAUUGCAGUUUGUGUGUUAAGCCACACAGUGGCAGCUGGUAUUGACACACUUGUAUUUUGUGGUAGUAUGCCAUUAUCUGCAACUGGCACUUCAGACUUUUGUCAGAAAGUUAAUGACAUUUUUGAUUUCUUUAAUACAUACAGUGUGAAAGGGCCUGUGCAUCUAAGGAACUGUAUUAGGAGUGAUUCAGAGCAUCUGGAUGUUCUACAUGUGAUGAAGCCAUGGAUUCACUCUUGGAAAUUUGUAGGCUCUGAUGGAAAAGAUUACUUCCUGAGGAUAAAAUGUGUAAAGGGGCUUCUAAGCAAUAUAUGUGCUUUGGAAAUGCUUGCUGCCGAGGUACUGACUGGAACAAAAUUGUACUUAUUCUCACGUAAAAUUAACCAAGACACAUUGGAAAACUUUUUUUCAACUAUGAGGCAGAGAGGUGGUUUUUGCAGCAACCCAUCUCCAAGGCAGUUUUGUGCUGCAUUUAACAACUGUACACUAAGCAAACUGAUAAAUUCUUCUAAUGUGGGAAGCAGUAAUUGUGAAGGAAUUGACUGGGAUCAGGCAAUACUGGACAUGAAAUCUGCUCAAACAUUAAAGGUCUCACAGUUGUUAUGCAGUAGUGAUACAAGUUCUGCAACAAAGCUACCAAAUGUGGAAGUUCCAGCAGACCUUGGAGAACAAUACAGUAUGAGAUAUGUGUUUGGUUACAUAUUGAAGAAACUUUUUUCUUUACAUAAUUGUGUCAAGUGCAGGAAUCUACUUGUAGACAACAGCCAGGACUUAGAUGCAAAUGACAAAUUUUAUUGCCAUUUCAAAAGUUACGAAGACAAUUUUGAAGCUUGGUUAUUUGCAGUGAAAAUAUUUGUUUAUUUUUGAGGGAUUGUGAAAAUCAGAUGGCUUCAGUUUUUGAUGAACAUUCUCACAAGAAAAACUGUGGUGAAUUAUAUGUAAACUUGUUGAUGGCUGUCCCAAGUUUUCCCCCUGGAUGUUGUGAAGAAACUAAGCUGCUGUUAAUCAAGAUAUUUGUUAAAGUGAGACUCGUUUACCGGCUCAAAUGUUGGAAUCAAGACUUAGUUUCUAACAACAAGAAAGCAAAUAAGAAACUGAAGAAGUUGGCUCAUUUGGGCUGCUGAUUUCUUUGGACACUAAUGACAGCAGCAGAGAAGCUUGCCGCUGUUCCUGAUGUGGAUAUCGACCCAGAGGGAACAUUUAAGUAUGUUCUAAUACAUGUCUUUGGUCCAGAGGGUCCUGAUGGCAAAGAACCGAGCAAAUUAGUGACAACGGGUGCAUGAAGUUGAAAGAUUCGCUCUUCAAGUUACCAAAGAAGCAAGAAGUGCUAAAAGGAAUGCCAAGAGGAAGCUUGAAGAUGAAGAAAGGCUGCAGGAUGUAGACUAUGCUUCAGGAAUGUUCUGAGGCACAGUUUAAUUGGACUCAUAUGUUCAUUCGCAAUUUCCCGCAAGUUGUUUUCUUCAGAAUUCAGGUGCGAGAAUACAAGUGAGUUGGCUUCCAUUCGGACGUCUACGAUGAGACGAUGGACAGGGUGAAAGGCCUCGGUGUUGAUACCGAGUGCACUGGUGGUGGCAGAAUACAGCACGACCCCAGUGCCAAGGUCAUCAAAGUGUACAGCUACUCACAGGGGUUUGGGAAGGCAGACCACAGCAAGACAGUAGAAAUUCUGAAGACUGCAUAUCCUGUUUACAACAUUACUUGGAGUGAUGAAGGAUACUGAUCUGCUCAGGUUGUAAUAUUUGACAUUGCAGCUUUUGAAAAUGGAGCUGGAUGUUGUGCCCUCUUUCCUAUUGGAGUGUUUCUCUGUGAUCAGAAUUGGAGGCAGACAAUUCACUUGAACGUCCAUUGCUGUUGGUGAUGUCUUUGAAUCAUGUUGUUUCUUUGUGAUUAAUAAAAAAGUUAUACAAUCCAA